ACACAUCUAGAUUUAUUAAUAUAUAAUAUGUUCUAACUACUUUUUACAUACUGUAAGCAUUUACAGUACAACAUCCACCCCUUCCAAACCUGCACAUCCUCCGGCAUGUGCCAAUCUCACCAUCUCUGUUUGCUUCAUUAUUCCCAUUUCUUUUCCAUCUUCUACCUGAUCUAAACCCAAUGUUUUAAAAUUUGGAAGAUCACUUGAAAUAAAUUUGCCAUCUCUUCUCUUAAAUGCCUUGAU
rnacentral:lncRNA from 1 species